AUUGAACGCUGGCGGCAUGGUUAAAACAUGCAAGUCGAACGCGAAAGCACUUCGGUGCAAGUAGAGUGGCGAAAGGGCGAGGAAUAAGUACCUAACGUGCCUUCAGGUAAGGGAUAGCUCAUGGAAACGUGUGGUAAUACCUUAUAAUCUCCAUCUUCCAUAUGGUUGAUGGAGCAAAGGCUUGCUGCCUGAAGAUCGGGGUACUUCCUAUCAGCUUGUUGGUAAGGUAAUGGCUUACCAAGGCUAAGACGGGUAGCGGGUGUGAGAGCAUGACCCGCCGCAUCGGGACUGAGACACUGCCCGG
rnacentral:rRNA from 1 species